rnacentral:piRNA from 1 species
UUGGAGGAGGGUGCGUCCUUCUGGAAC